GGAAUAUUCACGAUCAUCGGUUAAGUACCUAAGAAGAUCAACCACAGAUUACUUUGAACAUUCUCAAAGAUCUCGUGAUAAAAUGGCACACAUUGAAGAGGUUGCAUGAGCAUCUUGUGAAAUGAAAACUGUGAAUCAAAGAGGAGAAUAAAUAAUGAACCCUACUUUGCCAGCACAUAGAUCUUGGACUUACCAACCUUCAAAACUGAGAACAAUUUUCUGUUGUUUAAACCAUCCCGUCUUAUGGUAUUUUGCUUCAACACCCCAAGCAGACGGAUACACUACGUGGACCUUUCCCUUCAGUGGCUGCGGUGCUCAUGAUAAUCAUGACAACUCUCGUAAGAGAUUGGCCAUUUAGUGAUGACUUGCUAUGUGCCCGGCGUUGCUAGUAACUUCUCGUUUUUACUGGUUUCUUCUUUUAUGCAUUUCGGAGCAUGUGAGAAUCAUUUGGGUAAAAGUUGAUGCUCCAACUCUCUUGGGAUCCUGCGUCUCACCAUGGUGUCUUUGGAACAAGGCGUCCCAGUAGGAAGUUGUGUCCUGAGUCUCCCUGUCCAUGGGAGCWGUGGGGCAGGAUGAAGGACGUCCCACCGGCUGACCUUGCAUGCUGUGACUCUCUUGUGUCUUAAACCAUUUUCCUCAACUGAGUCUGGAGAACCCUAGAAGAUUCUGUCUUCAGUAGCUGAUGUCUUACCCACUAAGCACCUUGGCCCACCUGAAUGGGGAGGUGAGGUACAAUAGGGACAGGAUUCUGCCACACAGGCCUUGGGACAGGUGCCCAGACAGGAAACAGGGCUUCCGGGAUAGGAUCAGAGAUGAGGAAAUGAGAGAAAGGGGCCAUUCCAAACCACUUCUUUCAGCAGGAUUUGGAUCUGGAUUUGGAGAGCACCUCAUGGCACUUUCCAUGUGACAGGCUCAUGCACAGWCCUGAGUUCUCCUGCUGGGGUCCCUCACUUCCUCUCUCUUGAUCUUCUCCUGUCACAGUUCAUAUCCGUGAUUGGCCACACGGUGUAGACUGCGUAUGUUGCCACUGGCCCGYGGGCAGAGGAAGGAGCUACAGCUUCCAUUUUGGCCCUGGGAAUUUCUUACCCUUAAAAGGUGCCAACUUGGCUUCGCCUGUUGCCAAGACAAAAGGUCAGGUCAGAGAAGCAGCACACGCUGACAUUCUAAGUGCAAGGUCUCUUUUUUCAGUCCAGACAAGAAAGCAGGGUACACAUGGUCCUCACUGCGUGGAGUGGACUCUCCACCCCAGGACCACAGAUGGGCACAUUUGGCAUGUCCUUGUAGCUGGCCUUUUAUGAGGAUCACACUUUCCUGGCACCAUGCUGUCGAAGCCACAUCUCUACACAGAAUGUAAACCCACGGCCCAUGGGGAUUCAGGUGGUUCCCCUGGGAGAAACAGCAGUGCCAGGAAUUUCCCAGGUGUGGACUGAGCUUCAAAGCAGAUGCAAUUUGCAGGAGGGAGCCCUUCAUCUUCAAGCAAAAGAGCUGCUAAUUUCCCCUUUCUUUUCUGAACAUAGUCUGAGUGACAGCAUGAUUAUCUGGAAGAAACCAGGGUGGGCAGGUCAAUGUUACCUCAUUGAAGAUGCUAGGUUUGAUAGUUGGCUUCCCAACCUGGCAUGGUCCUGACACUCCACUGGUUUCCGCUCCUGGGUCUAAGACUGAUAAUCUGUCUGCUGGAUUUCAUGAGCAAUUGCAUGGGGAUUUUUUUUCUUAUCUUGAUUUGCACUUCCAUGAACUUCAAAUAGGAUCUAGAAAGGAAGGAAAAGAAAUGACAAAAAAUUAAUUCUUAGGGAGGCCAGAAAAUUGUCAGCGGUAACCUUAGGAACCAAAGAGAUAUCUUUCCUCCAUCUGUGCCACUCACCAUCAUUUUUCCUGGUCAGUCUAUACCCCUGACUUCCUGCCCUGCCCCUCCCCCCUCCUUCCCUCUCAGACCGUGACUUCCUGCUAUUGCUCCACAUCCCUGUUUGUGGCCUUCACCCCCCAUCACCCAGGAAGGAGUCCUUGCAUUAAGGGCUCUUUGUUUGAACCAUCUGGGGUGAAUYCU